GCAUGAAACUGUGAACAAGUCAGUAAUAUUGUUUCCAGAUAUAUUAAGAUAUCUGUCUAUAUCUUUAUUUUUUUACAACUCAGUUAUGGAACAUGCACUUGGAAUUUUGAUAAUUUUUUCAACAAUUAUCGAGUGCCGAGCUGCAGAUACAGUGAAUCAGACUGCUGGAGAUGUCUUUGCAUCUGAAGGAGGAUCAAUGACACUCAACUGUACCUAUCAAAUUAGCAGCUUAGCCAACGAAUACCUCUUCUGGUACAUCCAGUAUCCCAAUGAGUCUCCCAAGUACAUCCUGAGACGUGAAAAGUAUGGAGAAGGUGAUACUGCUCCAGGCUACAAGGAGAGAUUUGAUGGCAGUUUGAACACAAAUGCAAAGUCUGUACCUUUAACAGUGCAGAAUGUGCAGCUAUCAGAUUCUGCUGUGUAUUACUGUGCUCUGAGGCCCACAAUGAGAAUAACCUUCUCACACCCUCUACAAAAACACAAAACCAACAGGAAGAUAACAACUAAAAGCAAACUGCUGUUUUUGCAGAAAUUUACAAGAAUUCAUUAUAGAAAUAACGUUUAA